GUUCAUAUUCAUCAGAAAACAGUCUCAGCUGGAGAGAAUGAGGGAGCCGCAUUGUUCCCUCCCUUACUGCUUGCACAGAAAGAUAUAAGCUGUGGGGGGGAAGCUACCUGAGGUUAUUAAGAUUAAUACAGCUAGAGAUUCCAAUCAACUUGCACAAGGCUGCUCCUCAAGGCUGUCAGAUGCCUACUGCCUUCUUUUAUUCAGACGGGCCACAUCAAUUUGGAAUUUCCCAACAGAGACUGCUAUGAUUUAUGGGUUUAGGAGGCUGAUAGAUGUGGUUAGCUGAAGUGUUCAUGAGAUAAUUGAAUCAGAAUAAUUUCAGUCAGCUGUGUUCAAUUUAUUUUCUCCGAUAACCACAGGAGGGUGCAAUUUUGGAUUGGGAGCUUCAUCUCAAGGAUUCCUAUCACAGGAAAGACAUUGUGGAACUUGGAAUAAGAGCAACUUAAUUUUGCUGCCAGGCACAUAUGACAGCCUUACAAGCUGCCUAAGAUUCAUCAAAACUGGAGACUGCAGAUUUAUAUCCUUCAGCAGUCCCCGUUAUCCAGCCCUGCAUGGGACGUAG
rnacentral:lncRNA from 1 species